rnacentral:tRNA from 1 species
UCCUUCAUGGUCCAGCAGUUAAAACUCUGCACUUCCAAUGCAGGGGACUUGGGUUCGAUCCUUGGUCAGGGAA